AAAUGAUUAUUCAUUCAAAUGACUAGAAAAGUGUGGGAUGACUUUUUUUCUGCUUAUAUACAUCCUCAGUCUUGGAUGUUGGUUGGUUCCACUCCCGAGGGUUCAGACAUGUGAGCGUGGCGUUGGGUGUGUUUCACCGUGUCCUAUUUUGCCGUCACACAGCUCACCUGAAGGCCGCCACCUGCCCCGGGAGGGUGGGCCACAGCAACGCCGGCGCCGCGGAGCCUCUUGACAACGCUGCAUCCUGAGGGGACGUGUGGGAUUGGCACGUGCACGGAGGCGCGGAGCGACGGCACGCGAAGGGGUGAGGCUUUGAGUUGGAGUCUGGUGCUGCACACGUCCAUGCGCUCGCCCACAGCCUCUGGUUCAGGCGCGAUGGGUUCCUUCAGGCUUCAGCCUCAGCAGCUCUGAUCGAACACGGCCUCAUUUGGGCGCAGCCGUUUAAAUUGCAGAAGGUACAUUGUGUUAAAUUAUAGAUGAGGCGGAUAAUUACUGCUUUGCCACGUGAAAUGUCAUGGAACGGGAUCUGCUGUUAGACGGCGUUAACGUUAAAGCGGUGGGUCAAAGGUCAACGCACACCUGACGUCUGUUGUGCAGUUUUGACUUUUAGAAAAAAUAAAAGGGAAGAGUAUUUAUUAUUUGGAUUUUUA
rnacentral:lncRNA from 1 species